GCUGGCGGCAUGCCUAACACAUGCAAGUCGAACGAGAAAGUUCCUUCGGGAGCGAUUAAAGUGGCGCACGGGUGAGUAACGCGUAGACAAUCUGCCCUUCAGUCUGGGACAACUUUUCGAAAGGAGAGCUAAUACCGGAUGACAAUGUAACACAUAAGUGUCACAUUUGAAAGCUCCGGCGCUGAAGGAGGGGUCUGCGUCCCAUUAGCUAGUUGGUAAGGUAAAGGCUUACCAAGGCGACGAUGGGUAGCGGGUUUGAGAGGACGAUCCGCCACACUGGAACUGAGACACGGUCCAGACUCCUACGGGAGGCAGCAGUGGGGAAUAUUGCACAAUGGAGGCAACUCUGAUGCAGCAAUGUCGCGUGAGUGAAGAAGGCCCUUGGGUCGUAAAGCUCUUUUAUGGGGGAAGAUGAUGACGGUACCCCAAGAAUAAGCACCGGCUAACUACGUGCCAGCAGCCGCGGUAAUACGUAGGGUGCGAGCGUUGUUCGGAAUUACUGGGCGUAAAGGGCGCGCAGGCGGAAUAGCAAGUCGGAGGUGAAAGCCCGGGGCUCAACCCCGGAGGGUCUUUCGAAACUGCUAAUCUAGAGAGGGUCAGGGGCCAGCAGAAUUCUUGGUGUAGAGGUGAAAUUCGUAGAUAUCAAGAGGAAUACCGGUGGCGAAAGCGGCUGGCUGGGGCCACUCUGACGCUGAGGCGCGAAAGCGUGGGGAGCAAACAGGAUUAGAUACCCUGGUAGUCCACGCCGUAAACGAUGAGCACUGGAUGUCCGGAGGGUUCGACCCUUCUGGGUGUCUCAGCUAACGCAUUAAGUGCUCCGCC
rnacentral:rRNA from 1 species